rnacentral:rRNA from 1 species
CCUACGGGGCGCAGCAGUGAGGAAUAUUGGUCAAUGGACGAGAGUCUGAACCAGCCAAGUAGCGUGAAGGAUGACUGCCCUAUGGGUUGUAAACUUCUUUUAUAUGGGAAUAAAAUGUUCCACGUGUGGGAUUUUGUAUGUACCAUAUGAAUAAGGAUCGGCUAACUCCGUGCCAGCAGCCGCGGUAAUACGGAGGAUCCGAGCGUUAUCCGGAUUUAUUGGGUUUAACGGGAGCGUAGGUGGAUUGUUAAGUCAGUUGUGAAAGUUUGCGGCGCAACCGUAAAAUUGCAGUUGAAACUGGCAGUCUUGAGUACAGUAGAGGUGGGCGGAAUUCGUGGUGUAGCGGUGAAAUGCUUAGAUAUCACGAAGAACUCCGAUUGCGAAGGCAGUUCACUGGACUGCAACUGACACUGAGGCUCGAAAGUGUGGGUAUCAAACAGGAUUAGAUACCCUGGUAGUC